CCUACGGGUGGCAGCAGUGAGGAAUCUUGGUCAAUGGCCGGAAGGCUGAACCAGCCAAGCCGCGUGAAGGACGAAGGUGCCCAGCAUUGUAAACUUCUUUUGUCAGGGGACAAAAUCAGGCUCGAGAGCCUGACCGAGGGUACUUGAAGAAAAAGCAUCGGCUAACUCCGUGCCCGCAGCCGCGGUAAUACGGAGGAUGCGAGCGUUAUCCGGAUUUAUUGGGUUUAAAGGGUGCGUAGGCGGACUGUUAAGUCAGCGGUAAAAGGCCGGGGCUCAACCCCGGCGAGCCGUUGAAAUUGGCGGUCUUGAGAUGUCGAGAGGUAAGCGGAAUGCGCAGUGGAGCGGUGAAAUGCGUAGAUAUUGCGCAGAACUCCGAGUGCGAAGGCAGCAUACCGGAGGCGAUCUGACGCUGAGGCACGAAAGCGUGGGUAUCGAACAGGAUUAGAUACCCGUGUAGUC
rnacentral:rRNA from 1 species